rnacentral:rRNA from 1 species
UACGAAGGGGGCUAGCGUUGCUCGGAAUUACUGGGCGUAAAGGGCGCGUAGGCGGAUACUUAAGUUAGAGGUGAAAGCCCAGGGCUCAACCCUGGAAUAGCCUUUAAUACUGGGUAUCUUGAGUUCGGGAGAGGUGAGUGGAACUGCGAGUGUAGAGGUGAAAAUUCGUAGAUAUUCGCAAGAACACCAGUGGCGAAGGCGGACUCACUGGCCCGAUACUGACGCUGAGGCACGAAAGCGUGGGAGCAACAGGG